CCUACGGGGUGCUGCAGUGGGGAAUAUUGGACAAUGGGCGAAAGCCUGAUCCAGCCAUGCCGCGUGUGUGAAGAAGGCCUUCGGGUUGUAAAGCACUUUCAGUGGGGAAGAAAGCCUUGGGGCUAAUACCCUCGAGGAAGGACAUCACCCACAGAAGAAGCACCGGCUAACUCCGUGCCAGCAGCCGCGGUAAUACGGAGGGUGCGAGCGUUAAUCGGAAUUACUGGGCGUAAAGCGCGCGUAGGCGGUCUGAUAAGCCGGUUGUGAAAGCCCCGGGCUCAACCUGGGAACGGCAUCCGGAACUGUCAGGCUAGAGUGCAGGAGAGGAAGGUAGAAUUCCCGGUGUAGCGGUGAAAUGCGUAGAGAUCGGGAGGAAUACCAGUGGCGAAGGCGGCCUUCUGGACUGACACUGACGCUGAGGUGCGAAAGCGUGGGUAGCAAACAGGAUUAGAUACCCCGUAGUC
rnacentral:rRNA from 1 species